rnacentral:tRNA from 1 species
AACGAGGUAGUUUAAUAAAAACAUGUGUUUUGCGUACACGCAAUGGGAUGUCCUCAUCUCCCUUGUUA